rnacentral:ncRNA from 1 species
UUUGCCAGGGGAGCUUUUGCUGAGAUAUCCCGCAAGGGAUGGACCCUUUAAACCUGAUUCGGGUAAUUCCGACGUAGGAAGGUGAACAA